rnacentral:rRNA from 1 species
UACGGGGGGGGCAAGCGUUGUUCGGAAUUACUGGGCGUAAAGGGCUCGUAGGCGGCCAACUAAGUCGGAUGUGAAAUCCCCAGGCUCAACUUGGGAACUGCAUCCGAUACUGGAUGGCUUGAAUUCGGGAGAGGGAUGCAGAAUUCCAGGUGUAGCGGUGAAAUGCGUAGAUAUCUGGAGGAACACCGGUGGCGAAGGCGGCAUCCUGGACCAACACUGACGCUGAGGGAGCGAAAGCCAGGGGAGCAAACGGG